rnacentral:rRNA from 1 species
UACGUAGGGUGCAAGCGUUGUCCGGAAUUAUUGGGCGUAAAGAGCUCGUAGGCGGUUUGUUGCGUCGGCUGUGAAAUCCCGAGGCUCAACCUCGGGUCUGCAGUCGAUACGAGCAAACUAGAGUGUUGCAGGGGAGACUGGAAUUCCUGGUGUAGCGGUGAAAUGCGCAGAUAUCAGGAGGAACACCGGUGGCGAAGGCGGGUCUCUGGGCAACAACUGACGCUGAGGAGCGAAAGCUAGGGGAGCGAACAGG